UAAUUCCAGGGCUUAAUCUUAUACUUGUAAUAUUUUUAUUAUCAAUAAAGAGCUUUCUCAUUCCAAUCAUGUUUAUGUGCCCAUGAUUUAUCCUAAAAAUUAAUAAAAAUAAUUUUUAUAUAUUCUCAAAAUAUUGAGAAUUAAAGAUAAAUAUUAAUUAGUGGUUAAUUUUGAAAUACUCUUGUCAAAGGAUCGUCAUGAAAGACAGUGAUCAAUCCAUUCG
rnacentral:lncRNA from 1 species